UACGGAGGGGGCUAGCGUUGUUCGGAAUUACUGGGCGUAAAGCGCACGUAGGCGGCUUUGUAAGUUAGAGGUGAAAGCCCGGGGCUCAACUCCGGAAUUGCCUUUAAGACUGCAUCGCUAGAAUUGUGGAGAGGUAAGUGGAAUUCCGAGUGUAGAGGUGAAAUUCGUAGAUAUUCGGAAGAACACCAAUGGCGAAGGCAGCUCGCUGGGACGGUACUGACGCUGAGACGCGAAAGCGUGGGGAGCAAACAGG
rnacentral:rRNA from 1 species